UAAAGCAAAGACAGACGACAACCUUGAUCCGCAUUAACCAGCUCAUAACCUCCGCCCCUCCAGGACGGCCUAUCGUCAAUUAUUCUGACAGCCAGGCUGCUAUUAGAUCUCUUAAAUCUAAUGAAACAACGUCUAAAGUUGCCCUCGAAUUCAGUAGAACUCCCAUACUGCUGGCUUCAAAAUAUCACUUGACUGUGGUAUGGGUCCCUGGACACAGGGACGUUCCUGGCAACUGCUUAGCAGACGAGCUGGCAAGGAGCGAGAUGGAAAUAUCUGAAGUCAAUUCUUCUCAAAAUGCGGACAUACCUCUGACCUCCUGCAAACACAGGCCACAGAUCCAACUCAUCGAGAAGGUAAAUACCAGGUGGGCUGUGGAAACCACCUCCUGCCAUACUACCAAGUAAAUCGAUCCAUAUCUCUCACUCGGCUGGACCGCUAUUCGCACAGAUUAGUAGAUACCCCACCAACGACUUUUGUCGCAGUUGAAGAGACGAGAAAGAGGUGGAGAGCGUCCAACAUUAUCUCUGCUAUUGUCCCGCCCUGGCCAAGACGCGCAACCAAUUCUUCUUCAAGUACUUUCUAGAUUAUUUAGCCGACCUGAACUCGGUGAACAUUCUCGACUUUUUGUGCUAUAAAAAACGCACUCGGUGGUUCAAUUACUAGGAAAGGGAAAGAGACAAAUCCGAGCUCUGCGCGUGGGCAGCCACUCUAACCUAACAACGUGCAUAUCCAUAACUUUGACUAAAAUGUACUGCAUGUUUAGGUAGAUUUUCAAGGAUGGUUAGGUUAGACGGUAUGUUCUUGUCAACAGCUCGCUCGGUGAUUCCACCGGCCGAAAGGAAAAUAUUUCUCUAAAAACUAGUACCAUUGAAGUGGUCCAAGUCCUCGAAGAAAUGGUUUCAGAGAAAUCAAGGAAAAAAGUAUUAAAAACUCGCCUGUGCCGAGUUCCCAUUCGCUUACCAAUUGAUGGGAGUUUAAUAGGACUUAGUACACCUCGACUCAGAUCUCACUUCCUUAUUACAAAAACACGACUUUGAUUAUGGGUCUAGUGAAUCAUAUCGAAUGAUUCAUUGCCGAACUGGUGUAUACUGACCUUGCCUGGAGCUCAGCAUAAAAAACGGUUCAGUAAUCUGGAGGUCUUUAAUCCAGAUUGGGACUUCAUCGUUGCUUGAAAGGAUGUCAGAUUCUUAGUCUCUUCUAUGGGAAAGUUGUGGCGAGAGUUUCCGCUAUCCGUUAGCCAAAGCCUCUCUGUUUGAUUCCAUUUCGGUUUGAAAUAGAGGCUGCUGGUUAGACGCCUAGUCUUACAGCCGGUUACUGAAUGAAUGACGGGCUAACUGCAGGUUAAUACGUAGUUCGUAA